UACGUAGGGUGCGAGCGUUAAUCGGAAUUACUGGGCGUAAAGCGUGCGCAGGCGGUUUUGUAAGCCAGAUGUGAAAUCCCCGGGCUUAACCUGGGAAUGGCAUUUGGGACUGCAAGGCUUGAGUGCGGCAGAGGAGACUGGAAUUCCUGGUGUAGCAGUGAAAUGCGUAGAUAUCAGGAGGAAUACCGAUGGCGAAGGCAGGUCUCUGGGCUGACACUGACGCUCAUGCACGGAAGCGUGGGGAGCAAACAGG
rnacentral:rRNA from 1 species